rnacentral:lncRNA from 1 species
CUUGAACUGAAUUUUAAUGUGCGUAUUGUUAUGCGUUUACUUUACUACAUUGGUUAGAGGUAUAGGGGGAGGGUUGAGAUCUCACAAACAUGUUUAACCCCGCCGCAUUUUUGCGCCUGUCCCAAGUCAGGAGCCUCUGGCCUUUGUUAGUCUUGUAUUAUUUUAAUUUUAGUUUAUUGUGUACAAUUUGGAAAUUAGUAUGGCGUUCAUUAUCACUGGACUAGUAUAUAUUUGUUUAGGGGCCAGCUGAAGGACGACUCCGGGUGCAGGAAUUUCUCGCUACAUUGAAGACCUGUUGGUGACCCUCUGCUGUUGUUUUUUAUUUGGGAGGGUUGUUGUCUCUUUGAC